GUAGGGAAUCUUCCACAAUGGACGAAAGUCUGAUGGAGCAACGCCGCGUGAGUGAAGAAGGUCUUCGGAUCGUAAAACUCUGUUGUUAGAGAAGAACGUGCGUGAUAGUAACUGAUCAUGUAAUGACGGUAUCUAACCAGAAAGCCACGGCUAACUACGUGCCAGCAGCCGCGGUAAUACGUAGGUGGCAAGCGUUGUCCGGAUUUAUUGGGCGUAAAGGGAACGCAGGCGGUUUUUUAAGUCUGAUGUGAAAGCCUUCGGCUUAACCGAAGAAUAGCAUUGGAAACUGGAAGACUUGAGUGCAGAAGAGGAGAGUGGAAUUCCAUGUGUAGCGGUGAAAUGCGUAGAUAUAUGGAGGAACACCAGUGGCGAAAGCGGCUCUCUGGUCUGUAACUGACGCUGAGGUUCGAAAGCGUGGGUAGCAAACAGGAUUAGAAACCCCAGUAGUCC
rnacentral:rRNA from 1 species